UAUGUUGCUUGUAUUAUUACUUGACUUUAUGCUAUUUUUUACAAAAGAAUACAUAUAUAUUUGUUAUUCUUUAUAUAGAGAUAAUAGGAAUAUAGAUUUCAUGGUUAAUAGGUGGAAUCUAUUUCAAGGAAAUAUAGAAAUAUCUUUGAUACUCUGAAAAAUAAAAAAGAAACCAUGUUUAAAAAAGAAAAUGUCCAAUAUUAUAUUGAAGUUACUGUAGGCGUAACAGUAAGACUAUAUGUUGGAAAACUUUUAUCUCCCAAUACAUCUGUUAUCAAAAAUAAGAUAUAUCCAAACACAUUUGAUAUUCAAAAUACUCCUGUCCAUCAAGCUAUCAGCAAGAUAUGAAAUCUCGAAGAUGUGUCUAUUGAUAAAUGUCAUUCACACUUCAAGAGUCCUUCCUGAUAUAGUGACAAUAAUUUCGAAGGUUUAUACUUCUAAUGACACUGUUAGUAAAAAAUAGUAUUAAGUAAUUCUAACAUAAAUAUUGAUACAAAGACUAGUGAAAGAAAUGAAAUUGUAUGACAAUUCCUACUUAUAAAUCUUAUCAGAUUUUAGAUGAGGAAAAAAAAUUUAUCUCACAAUCAGAAUACAGAAGCAUAUAUUUCCUUAACAAUGUGAAAAAAAUACAUAAAAAUGCACAUGAAAAUACAAUUCGAUAUUAAAAUCAGAUUUAUUGAAUGUUAAGGAGAUUGAUAACAUUCCAGGAAUCAUAUUUAUUGAGACUCCAUUUGAUAGCUUUAAAGAAAGUAUCUCUUUGCACAAUGACAAUAAUAUUUCUACAUGUAAUACAAUUAUAAACAUGGAACAAGCAAAUUUAAAUUCUACUCUAAAUGACUAUGAUAAAUUUAAUGAAUAUAAUCUACAAAAUGUAAUAUUUCAAAUCUUGUUCAC